AUGUUAUUUAGUUACCUGAUAGUAUCAGUGUCCAAGUUAUCAUUCAGGAAAAAUAAUCAUAAAGUUGUAAUUGUUUGAGUUAAUUUCCAACUUUAGGAAUCAACUUAACUGAUACACACCAUGUUUCACAGCACAGGCGAAAAGAAGCACAGUUUUCACGUUCGAGAUAAAUAUUCCAAUUAAGCAAUGCAUUUGGAGGAAAUAUCAAAUGCUUAAUCAGCGCAAAGUGGCCCAAAAUUGUUCGAGAAAUCCGAUAUCUGGAAAGCAGAAUCCACAACUGAAGUGGUGAUGAGUUCCGACUACGAUGGUCGCCGCGGACGACGGACGAAAACAACAACAAUGACGCGACGAAUACCGGACCGGCUGGUAACGGUGAUGGAUGGAGCGAGGACAGACAUUUGUCUCGCUGACAAAAGCGCCACGAUGAAAUACGACGGGCAAUAAAAGUGAAAUGUACACACCUAUCUACUGCUGGCUGCUAAUAAACAUGUGUGAAAAUGAUACGGGA